UACGGGGGGGGCAAGCGUUGUUCGGAAUUACUGGGCGUAAAGGGCUCGUAGGCGGCCAACUAAGUCAGACGUGAAAUCCCCAGGCUCAACCUGGGAACUGCGUCUGAUACUGGAUGGCUUGAGUUCGGGAGAGGGAUGCGGAAUUCCAGGUGUAGCGGUGAAAUGCGUAGAUAUCUGGAGGAACACCGGUGGCGAAGGCGGCAUCCUGGACCGACACUGACACUGAGGAGCGAAAGCCAGGGGAGCAAACGGG
rnacentral:rRNA from 1 species